rnacentral:rRNA from 1 species
CCAGACUCCUACGGGAGGCAGCAGUGGGGAAUAUUGCACAAUGGGGGAAACCCUGAUGCAGCGAUGCCGCGUGGAGGAAGAAGGUUUUCGGAUUGUAAACUCCUUUUAUCAGGGACGAUAAUGACGGUACCUGAAGAAAAAGCUCCGGCUAACUACGUGCCAGCAGCCGCGGUAAUACGUAGGGGGCAAGCGUUAUCCGGAUUUACUGGGUGUAAAGGGAGCGUAGACGGUGCAGCAAGUCUGAUGUGAAAGGUCGGGGCCCAACCCCGGGACUGCAUUGGAAACUGUUGAACUGGAGUACAGGAGAGGUAAGCGGAAUUCCUAGUGUAGCGGUGAAAUGCGUAGAUAUUAGGAGGAACACCAGUGGCGAAGGCGGCUUACUGGACUGUAACUGACGUUGAGGCUCGAAAGCGUGGGGAGCAAACAGGAUUAGAUACCCGCGUAC